CCCCAGACCGCCCCCUGCUCGGCUGCUCUCCCUCCCACGGCAACCCUAGGCGAGGCGGCAGCGGCGGCGCGGCAGGUGCGGCACGCCUGCACGGCCGCACGAUCCAGGGCACGGCAGAGGGUAGGAGAGGAGCCGCGGAGGCCGGAGGGGCCGCGCUGCCGCGGGGUGCAGCGGCGCAGGCGACGACCGCAAUCCGCAACGGCUGCAGGCUGCUCGGCCUUGGCGGUCGGCCCUGCUGGGCGGGCGGCGGCCAGGCGCAGGGCGGAGGUCGCAGGCGGGCGGCGGGCGGCCAGCCGGGCAGCCGGCGUCCGACGACCAGGGAGCGGCGCUGCGUGUGGUGGUCAGAAAAGAAAUCCGGCGCCGCCCCAAUGGCUGUGGAGAAAUCUGGUGGCGCUGCCGCAGCCUCCCCAUCCACCUCCACAUCCACCUUGGACUGCUUCCAGAAGAUUGUCCUCAGCUGGGACUACCUCCGCCUUGUCGCCGAAUCCAAGGGCAGCAAGCAGGGGAAGGGGCUGCAGCGCGUGAAGGACACAUAUGAGUCCGUGGCUGACUACCUCAGCGUCUUCGAGCCGCUGCUCUUCGAGGAGGUCAAAGCGCAGAUCGUCCGGGGACGCAGCGAUGAGGAGGAAGGAGAUGCUUCGCUGGACUGGCAGAGGGUGGCGGUGGGGUUGUGUGCGGAGUCCGAGGGGUUCCACAAGUUCUCCAUGGCGGUGGAGAAUGAAUUUCGGGAAACUGUGUCGGAGAAUGACCUACUGCUGCUCUCCAAAGAGAAAUUUGAGGAGGGAGUGACCCCUACUGCAUACGCCUUUGCAUUGGUGGAACAACGCGGUGGUAGCGCAAAUAUUUCUCUUAGAGCUUUUGUGGCAGGCGAAAUUCAAAAUCUGAAUGUUUCCAAGCCUGUGGACUCUCCAAGACUGAAGCGUUUUGCUUCCAUUUUGGCAGCUGAGAGCAGCACCCUGUGGAUAUUGAAGGUCUGCAGUUUGUCUACUAUAAUGCGGGAGUUCACAGCUAUGCAUUCUGUAGCUUGUCUUCCUUUUAAGGAUUUAAUUCUUUCAGCUGCUGAGAAGCAUAAGGAUGUUGAUGAUCAAAGCCGUGCCUGGAAUGCCCCUCAGCCACUUAUGGAUCACCUCAAAGCAAAUCUUAAUGAUUCACAACUAGAGGCAGUUAAUGCAGGUCUUUCCCGCAGAUCCUUUGUUCUUAUUCAGGGUCCUCCAGGAACUGGAAAGACACAAACUAUCCUUGGACUUCUCAGUGCCGUUCUCCAUUCUGCUCCUGCAAGAAUGAAGACAAAAGGAGGAUUUGACGUUCAAAAACAUGGACCAGAGCUGGACAUUGAUGGCAAGUAUGCACACUGGGUAAAAGCAUCUCCUUGGUUAUUUGGUGCAAAUCCUAGAGAUUUGAUUAUGCCUGUCGAUGGUGAUGAUGGUUUUUACCCCACUGGAAAUGAACUGAAACCUGAAGUUGUAAGCUCCAAUCGCAAGUAUCGGGCCCAUGUGUUGGUCUGUGCUCCAUCCAACUCAGCACUUGAUGAGAUUGUGUUACGUGUUCUUAACACAGGAAUCCGAGAUGAAAAUAACAACACUUACAACCCUAAAAUUGUGCGCAUUGGAGUGAAGGCACAUCAUUCUGUUAAAGCAGUUUCUAUGGAUUACCUGAUACAACAAAAACUUUCUGGUGUAGAUCGCACAUUAGAUGGUGGGAGACGAGGAGCUGGCGAAUAUGAUCGGAUUAGAGCUUCAAUACUGGACGAAGCCGCCAUUGUAUUUUCUACUCUGAGUUUCAGCGGAUCGUCAAUUUUCAGCAGGAUGAGCCGCACUUUUGAUGUUGUUAUAAUCGACGAAGCUGCACAAGCUGUGGAACCUGCAACUCUUAUACCCUUGGUCCAUGGGUCCAGACAAAUUUUUCUUGUUGGCGACCCAGUUCAGUUGCCCGCAACAGUCAUUUCAUCUACUGCUCAGAAAUUGGGAUAUGGAACAAGCUUGUUCAAAAGAUUUCAAGGUGCUGGUUUUCCGGUGCAAAUGCUUAAAAUUCAGUAUCGCAUGCAUCCAGAGAUUAGUAUCUUCCCUUCAAAAGAAUUUUAUGAAGGAGCGCUACAAGAUGCAGGGGGUCUCAGCAAAAAACGCCCAUGGCAUUCCUACACCUGCUUCGGACCAUUUUGUUUCUUUGACAUUGAUGGUGUUGAAACGCAGCCACCUGGAAGUGGUUCUUGGGUGAAUCAAGAUGAAGUGGAAUUUAUAACUCUCCUAUAUCACCAAUUGGCAAUGCGCUAUCCAGAACUCAAAUCUAGUUCUGAAGUGGCUGUUAUAUCACCGUACAGGCAACAGAUGAAACUAUUGAAGGAUAAUUUUCGGUUAACCUUUGGGGAUCAAUCAAAGGAAGUGAUAGAUGUAAACACUGUUGAUGGAUUCCAGGGCCGUGAAAGAGAGGUAGUCAUUUUUACUUGUGUAAGAUGCAACAAGGAGCAAAAAAUUGGGUUUGUUUCUGAUUUUCGGCGAAUGAAUGUUGCCAUCACGAGAGCAAGGUCUGCUGUACUGGUAAGUGCCUCUUCUCCAAGCUUCAAACUUUAUUCUUUAAUAUUUUGUUUUGCAUCAUCUGCAGACGGCAGUUGCAUCAGCACCAUCUUAUGCAUGAUACUCAAUUACUCAUGGCAUAUAUGCGCUUAUGGUGUCAACUAAGACAUAGUUGCUGGGCGGAUCCCGAAGCUGAACAUAGUAGCUGGGCUGGAGCCCCCGCAGCCCCCCAUGUGGAUCCGCCACUAGUCGCAGGUUGUAGGUUCCGCUUCAACACUGCAGAAAGAUGAACACUGGAACAAUCUUGUCGAGAGUGCCAAAGAGCGAAAGAGCUACUUCAAGGUCCCAAAGCCAUUCGGCGCAUUCUUUGCUGAGGAUAACCUGAAGACCAUGUUUGUGGAAAAGAAUCCUCCUGCAGAGCCGAAAGCUGAAGCGCUGGACGCGAUGAAUGAAGAAGCGCACAGGCAGGGCCUCAUGGAUGUGGAUGCUGCUGAUGACCAAGCAGAUGCAGGGGACGACGACGAUGCUGCCAUGGAUGUUGAUGAUGGAGGUGGCGACGACUGAUUGUAGGAUGCCGUGUGAGCUGUGGCCCCUUGUUACAGCAGUUGUAUUAGCGAACUGGUACAUAGAGAGGAUUAGGGUUUCAUGGGUGGAGACAAGAGGUUGCUGAGGCUUCAAAACAGAAUUUUGGAGCAGCUAUUCUUUUUCUCUUAUCCAAUUUUGGGAGGAAGAGAUGUCCGGGAUGCCUAAGUUACACUAUCAACAUUACUUGUUAAAUAUAAAUAGUGACAGACACGUUUCUUGUGUUCC